rnacentral:rRNA from 1 species
GGUUUCUAUCUUUUAAAAUAUGAAAUAUUUUAGUACGAAAGGAUUGAAUAUUUUAAUUAAAUUAUUACGAAUUUAUUUUGAAUUUUAUUAAUAAAUUAUAAAAAGUUUAUUUAAUUUUAAUUUAAUAAAUUACAUAAUAUAUAUAUAUAUAUAUAUAUAUAUAAUUUAUUAUUAUUAUUUAUAUUAAA